UGCAGUCGAGGGGCAUCAGUUUGGUUUGCUUGCAAACCAAAGCUGGCGACCGGCGCACGGGUGAGUAACACGUAUCCAACCUGCCUCAUACUCGGGGAUAGCCUUUCGAAAGAAAGAUUAAUAUCCGAUAGCAUAUAUUUCCCGCAUGGGUUUUAUAUUAAAGAAAUUCGGUAUGAGAUGGGGAUGCGUUCCAUUAGUUUGUUGGGGGGGUAACGGCCCACCAAGACUACGAUGGAUAGGGGUUCUGAGAGGAAGGUCCCCCACAUUGGAACUGAGACACGGUCCAAACUCCUACGGGAGGCAGCAGUGAGGAAUAUUGGUCAAUGGACGCGAGUCUGAACCAGCCAAGUAGCGUGAAGGAUGACUGCCCUAUGGGUUGUAAACUUCUUUUAUAUGGGAAUAAAGUUGUCCACGUGUGGAUUUUUGUAUGUACCAUAUGAAUAGGGAUCGGCUAACUCCGUGCCAGCAGCCGCGGUAAUACGGAGGAUCCGAGCGUUAUCCGGAUUUAUUGGGUUUAAAGGGAGCGUAGGCGGAUUGUUAAGUCAGUUGUGAAAGUUUGCGGCUCAACCGUAAAAUUGCAGUUGAUACUGGCAGUCUUGAGUGCAGUAGAGGUGGGCGGAAUUCGUGGUGUAGCGGUGAAAUGCUUAGAUAUCACGAAGAACUCCGAUUGCGAAGGCAGCUCACUGGAGUGUAACUGACGCU
rnacentral:rRNA from 1 species